AAUUAUUUGUGUAAAUAAUUAUAUUCUGUCUCCUCCACAAGUAUCUAGAGCCCUCCGAUACAAGGCCUGGCCCAUAAGAAAAAAAGUCUGUUUGAAAUGAAUGAAUGAUUUACAGAGCCUGGAGAUAUAGAAUCACAAAAAAUUCACAGGCAAAACAGGGCACAGCCAAGGAACUUCCCAUAGCUAUACAUUGCCCGUACAGAGAGACAAUGUCCAGCCUGCACUGGAUACACAAGGAAAAUGACAGACUAACAGAUGGGCCAGAACAGAACCAAAGCAACAAGACAGAAAGCACAAACAGGUUCUAGAACCCUGGCAGGACACAAGUUAGAACUCAGAGGUAAGCACAGGCUGAAAACACCUGGUAGGGAGGGCAGGGCCACCUACUAGAAAGAACACCAGGUCACAAUCCCACGUCAAGACAGCAUCGAAGCCAUCAGAAAACAGAAAGAAGAAAACUGCAUUGGGUCUCCAAAAUGACUCACCUAUCUCUGAAGUCUAGAGGCUAAUAGUUAUAACUGGCACUCAUGAAAAAUGUCCAACUACUGCUAAGCCAAUAGGGAUGCUGAGGGACAGAGGGAUCCAAGUCUGAGAAUCUGUGGGAGGCCGGCCUCAUCCCUCCAGCCAGAGGCUCAGAGUAUAGAUGGAGAAAUUGAGGAACAGAGAAGCUAAGAAUUGGACCAAGGUUACACA